CUGCUGCGAGAAGGUGUGUGCGAGCACACCAGAGCCUUCCACCAGCUGGGUGCCCUGCCUGUCCGGACCACGGCAGGGGUGAUGUUGCCUGCCUCUCCGGACUGCUACAGUUGGUCAGGCUGCUGUCUUGUCUUCCUUUAGUUUUGUUUGAUGUUUGAUUUACUAUUUUGUCUGUUACUUUUGGUUUGAUUGUCUUUGUCCAUUGUCUUUCUUUUGU